GUAGAGGAGCGCUCGUGUAGGCAGAGCGCUGCUUUUCCGGCGGACGGCGUGCGAUGCCGGCCUGCCUGCCUCGUCGACCGGCUAUAAGAGGCCCGAUAAGGGAAACAGCCGAGCCACUUCAGGCUGCUCAGGGCUGUAUACUCAGGUGCCUUUUUUACAAAAAUAGAUUCGGCCACUCUUGCGUACGUCUUGAGGACGACUUCCAUUACUCGGUGGCGGUCCAGUACUCUGCUGAACAGACCAUUUCCGGGACGCCCGUCAUUGUGCUCUCAAACAAUGAAGUGUUUCCAGACGACGAGGCCUUCAACCACUGCAUGUGGCGCUACAAGUGGCGAGCGUGUCCUCCACUAAAGAAAUACGACAAGAAGAUCCACCCGAUGGCCCUGGUGCUCCUUUUUGACACUUUUGUACUCGAAGAAACAUACGCCGGCACUCGCCAACUUGAUCAAUAAACAAUUUUGGA
rnacentral:lncRNA from 1 species